rnacentral:rRNA from 1 species
CUCAGGAUGAACGCUGGCGGCGUGCCUAAUACAUGCAAGUCGAGCGAACAGAUGAGAAGCUUGCUUCUCUGAUGUUAGCGGCGGACGGGUGAGUAACACGUGGGUAACCUACCUAUAAGACUGGGAUAACUCCGGGAAACCGGGGCUAAUACCGGAUAAUAUAUUGAACCGCAUGGUUCAAUGUUGAAAGACGGUUUCGGCUGUCACUUAUAGAUGGACCCGCGCCGUAUUAGCUAGUUGGUAAGGUAACGGCUUACCAAGGCAACGAUACGUAGCCGACCUGAGAGGGUGAUCGGCCACACUGGAACUGAGACACGGUCCAGACUCCUACGGGAGGCAGCAGUAGGGAAUCUUCCGCAAUGGGCGAAAGCCUGACGGAGCAACGCCGCGUGAGUGAUGAAGGUCUUAGGAUCGUAAAACUCUGUUGUUAGGGAAGAACAAAUUUGUUAGUAACUGAACAAGUCUUGACGGUACCUAACCAG